GUUAUCAGUUGUCGGUUAAUCGUCAAACAGGCUGUGUUUUAUUUUGUUAUUUGCACCUAAUGAAGAGUGAUAGUGGAUCGGGAGUUUAUCUUGAACGAUCAAAUAUUCACAUGUGCCUGACCGGUAACGCAGCUUCAAGGCUGAAAUUAAUUGUCGCGCGAGUGGUGAAAAUUGGUUUACGAUCAUUAAGAUUUUCGCAAAGUGAAUAUCAACCAAUUACUUGGUGGCUUGAUAACGUAACUAUAAGCCUUUGUAUUCACGUUUUGCUUAUGGAUCCAAAGAUGCGGAACUAAGUUCCAUUGUGUGGAAUAGAGAUCGACCUAUUUGAUCCCGGGGCUUGAGCGGAUAUCCAAGAUGGCUAACUGAGUACAAUGGUUCUAGAAGCCUAUCCAAGUACAAUGGAUUUGGCUUGAACUGCAUGUGCAUGCGAAAGAAGAUGGCGGACGUCGCGGGAUACACUAGAAUUUAAGAUACACUCAUACGUACACACACACACAAUUAGUUUUUAAUUUCUUUUUUUUUUAUUAGUAGUAAGUUUUAAAAUAGUAUAUAGGCAGUUAGGGUAAGUUUAGAAAAAUAAAGCAUGAAUUAAAA